rnacentral:rRNA from 1 species
UACAGAGGUCCCGAGCGUUGUUCGGAUUCACUGGGCGUAAAGGGUGCGUAGGUGGCGAGGUAAGUUUGAUGUGAAAGCUCAGGGCUUAACCCUGAAAUGGCAUUGAAUACUACUGUGCUGGAGGUUUGGAGGGGGGACUGGAAUUCUUGGUGUAGCAGUGAAAUACGUAGAUAUCAAGAGGAACACCAGUGGCGAAGGCGAGUCCCUGGACAACACCUGACACUGAGGCACGAAAGCUAGGGGAGCAAACAGG